rnacentral:rRNA from 1 species
UACGUAGGGGGCAAGCGUUAUCCGGAUUUACUGGGUGUAAAGGGAGCGUAGACGGCGAGGCAAGUCUGGAGUGAAAGCCCGGGGCUCAACCCCGGGACUGCUUUGGAAACUGCCUGGCUGGAGUGCUGGAGAGGCAGGCGGAAUUCCUAGUGUAGCGGUGAAAUGCGUAGAUAUUAGGAGGAACACCAGUGGCGAAGGCGGCCUGCUGGACGGUGACUGACGCUGAGGCUCGAAAGCGUGGGGAGCAAACAGG